rnacentral:lncRNA from 10 species
CUUCGCCGUCCCUGACUGGAGGAAACCUGCAGGCUCUCGUCCGCCGAGCUCAGAAGUGCCAGGCGCUGCCAACGGCCCCGGAGAUCCUCGCAUCCCUACAGAAACACGAGUUAUUUUUCUCCUUACCAUAAACAAAAACAGCAUUGGCAAUAAGGGCUGAAGGCAUUAUAGUGGCCUAUGAGCAGAAUUUGCCAUGCCUUCCAUGGAGCAUUCUUUUUCCAAGUCAGGUCAAUCCAGCCUGCAGCUGUGGAUGCGACCAUCUUGGAAGCCAUGUUAAAGAAGGCAGAGCCACAAGAUAGAUGCAGCCGGGUUCUCUAAAUCACCACUGGGGAGAAACCCACACACCAAUGAGGAAUACCCAUUUUUUGGAUUUUAAGAGCAAGAAAUAAACUUCAAUUGUGUUCAGCAUUAUGUGCUUUGGGGUUUGUUUAUUACAGCAACUAGUGUUACUGCAACUAAUACAUAGUACACUAUGAAAAUACAAUGCUGGAGAAAGAAGUGAUGGAAUAGAUAUGCAUAAAACACCAUUGAUAGGCCUCACAAACAUAGGGUUAAGUGCAGAAGUACAGAAACAGAAUGAAAUUUAUAACUAGAUUCUAUUUAUUAAAUAGCAUAUGCACACAAUAUAAUAAUACAUGUUUUCUGAGGAUACAUGCAUAUUUAAGGAUGUAUAACAAAUGCUUUAGAAUGGGUAUGUAUGGGCCAGGUGCGGUGGCUCAUGCCUGUAAUCCCAGCACUUUGAGAAGCCAAGGCAGAUGGAUUACCAGAGGUUGGGAGUUCGAGACCAGUCUGGCCAACAUGCUGAAACCCCAUCUCUACUACAAAUACAGAAAAUUAGCUGGGUGCAGUGGUGGGCAUCUGUAAUUCCAACUAAUUGGGAUGCUGAGGCAGGAGAAUCACUUGAACCUGGGAGCCCGAGGCUGCAGUAAGCCAUGAUCGUACCACUGCACUCCAGCCUGGGAGACAGAGUAAGACUCCAUCUCAAAAAAAAAAAAAAAAAAAAAGAAUGGGUAUGUACGGUAGGAAUCAGAGAAGAAGGGAGAAAAAAGAAAAA